UGCGAGCGGACAGAUGGGAGCUUGCUCCCUGAUGUUAGCGGCGGACGGGUGAGUAACACGUGGGUAACCUGCCUGUAAGACUGGGACAACUCCGGGAAACCGGGGCUUAUACCGGAUGGUUGUUUGAACCGCAUGGUUCCAAACAUAAAAGGUGGCUUCGGCUACCACUUACAGAUGGACCCGUGGCGCAUUAGCUAGUUGGUGAGGUAACGGCUCACCACGGCAACUGAUGCGUAGCCGACCUGAGAGGGUGAUCGGCCACACUGGGACUGAGACACGGCCCAGACUCCUACGGGAGGCAGCAGUAAGGGUAAUCUUCCGCUAAUGGACGAAGAGUACUAACGGAGCGAACGCCGCGUGAGUGAUGAAGGUUUUCGGAUCGUAAAGCUCUGUUGUUAGGGCAAGAACCGAGUACCGUUCGGAUAGG
rnacentral:rRNA from 1 species